GACGAACGCUGGCGGCGUGCUUAACACAUGCAAGUCGAACGGAAAGGCCCUGCUUUUGUGGGGUGCUCGAGUGGCGAACGGGUGAGUAACACGUGAGUAACCUGCCCUUGACUUUGGGAUAACUUCAGGAAACUGGGGCUAAUACCGGAUAGGAGCUCCUGCUGCAUGGUGGGGGUUGGAAAGUUUCGGCGGUUGGGGAUGGACUCGCGGCUUAUCAGCUUGUUGGUGGGGUAGUGGCUUACCAAGGCUUUGACGGGUAGCCGGCCUGAGAGGGUGACCGGCCACAUUAGGACUGAGAUACGGCCCAGACUCCUACGGGAGGCAGCAGUGGAGAAUAUUGCACAAUGGGCGGAAGGCUGAUGCAGCAACGCCGCGUGCGGGAUGACGGCCUUCGGGUUGUAAACCGCUUUCGCCUGUGACGAAGCGUGAGUGACGGUAAUGGGUAAAGAAGCACCGGCUAACUACGUG
rnacentral:rRNA from 1 species